rnacentral:rRNA from 1 species
UUCAAGGCCAAUACCACCCUGCAUAUGACCAGUUUUGUCUGAUCUUAGAAGCUAGGCAGAGUCAGGCCUAGUUAGUACUUGGAUUGGAGAGUUCAAGGCCAGCCUGGGCU